GCCAGACAGACCCUAAACAUGAGAAAAAUUAGUUGGUUGGGGAUCAUGGAAAACUGGAGAAAGACAGUGCACAAUAUUCGUCCAACCAACAAUGUUUAUUGAAUGUGAAGUCAUCCCAGCCCCCUUUCACGGGGAAGACAGUCCAAGGAGAAAGAAGAAUAUUACACGUUAAAUACCCACCUGCACACUCACACACUCUCACACACUUGCGCACACGCAUGCCGCACAGUCGUCCAAGCUCCUGCAGUGACACGUCGCACACCCUCCCCCCCCCCACCCCCCAAGCCAGAGGCACGGCUGUCAGGGUCAGUGCGGAGCUGGGGCUCCAGGAUAGGUUCUAGCAGCAGCAGCCGGUCCCCCUGCCCCCUGCCCUCCACCCUGCCCCGCGCCUGCCCCCGGGGCCGCGGUGCCUAGCACGCGAGUGACAACUCUUCCCCGCUCUGCCGCAGGCGCUUCUUGGCCCGGAUCUCGUUCAUGGCCUCUUCAAUGGAGCGCGUGUCCCUCUUGUUGGCCACGGGCUAGCCAUAGGUCUUGUUGCCUGCAACAUGUGGGCGGCGUCCUUGGCUGCCCCCAGCGGAUGAGGUGGUGUUCUUGUCUUUGUAGUUACUAGCAGGGCUCACCACCACCGGGCCCUGCUGUGCCACCUCCUCCUCUUGCCGCUGGGCCAGCUCCUUCGGCUUCAGUUUUUCCUCAGCCUUCUGGGGGUCCCAUUCCUCGCCCCGGCGGUAGGAGUCCAGCUCCUCGUCUGACGGCGCAAACUCCUUUUUGAAGAUUAUGUAAGCGACUCUUGUCAUCUUCCUGGAAAGAGAAGGACGUUAGGCCAGCCACUUCCACGACAUCGUGUAGGAUGCUCCUAUCUUGUUCAUUGGCUGAAACUUUUUCUUGAUCUGCGCUCUGUCUUGCAUGAAAUCCGAUACUUCUUUCUCCUUCCCUUUAUGAAACUCCACUUUCUGCUGUUUCUCUUGCUCCUGUAGUUUCUUCAGGUGCGCAGCCUGCUCUUGGGCCUUGCCCUGAAGACUCCUGGUCCC
rnacentral:lncRNA from 12 species